rnacentral:rRNA from 1 species
UAGCUAGUUGGUGAGGUAAAGGCUUACCAAGGCGACGAUCUGUAGCGGGUCUGAGAGGAUGAUCCGCCACACUGGAACUGAGACACGGUCCAGACUCCUACGGGAGGCAGCAGUGGGGAAUUUUGGACAAUGGGGGCAACCCUGAUCCAGCCAUGCCGCGUGAGUGAAGAAGGCCUUCGGGUUGUAAAGCUCUUUCGGCCGGGAAGAAAUCGCAUGGGCCAAUACCCUGUGUGGAUGACGGUACCGGAAUAAGAAGCACCGGCUAACUACGUGCCAGCAGCCGCGGUAAUACGUAGGGUGCGAGCGUUAAUCGGAAUUACUGGGCGUAAAGCGUGCGCAGGCGGUUUUGUAAGACAGGCGUGAAAUCCCCGGGCUUAACCUGGGAACUACGUUUGUGACUGCAAGGCUAGAGUACGGCAGAGGGGGGUGGAAUUCCACGUGUAGCAGUGAAAUGCGUAGAGAUGUGGAGGAACACCAAUGGCGAAGGCAGCCCCCUGGGUCGAUACUGACGCUCAUGCACGAAAGCGUGGGUAGCAAACAGGAUUAGAUACCCUGGUAGUCCACGCCCUAAACUAUGUCAACUAGGUGUUGGGUGGGUAAAACCAUUUAGUACCGUAGCUAACGCGUGAAGUCGACCGCCUGGGGAGUACGGCCGCAAGGUUAAAACUCAAAGGAAUUGACGGGGACCCGCACAAGCGGUGGAUGAUGUGGAUUAAUUCGAUGCAACGCGAAAAACCUUACCUACCCUUGACAUGCCAGGAACUUGCCAGAGAUGGCUUGGUGCCCGAAAGGGAGCCUGGACACAGGUGCUGCAUGGCUGUCGUCAGCUCGUGUCGUGAGAUGUUGGGUUAAGUCCCGCAACGAGCGCAACCCUUGUCGUUAAUUGCCAUCAUUUGGUUGGGCACUUUAACGAGACUGCCGGUGACAAACCGGAGGAAGGUGGGGAUGACGUCAAGUCCUCAUGGCCCUUAUGGGUAGGGCUUCACACGUCAUACAAUGGUCGGUACAAAGGGUUGCCAAGCCGCGAGGCGGAGCCAAUCCCAGAAAGCCGAUCGUAGUCCGGAUUGCAGGCUGCAACUCGCCUGCAUGAAGUCGGAAUCGCUAGUAAUCGUGGAUCAGCAUGUCACGGUGAAUACGUUCCCGGGUCUUGUACACACCGCCCGUCACACCAUGGGAGCGGGUUCCGCCAGAAGUAGGUAGCCUAACCGCAAGGGGGGCGCUUACCACGGCGGGGUUCGUGACUGGGGUGAAGCCGUAACAAGGUAGCCGUAGGGGAACCUGCGGCUG